rnacentral:misc_RNA from 1 species
AAGUCGUAACAAGGUUUCCGUAGGUGAACCUGCGGAAGGAUCAUUAACACGUAUCCAAACGUUAAAACAACCCUGUGAAUAUUGAAUCUCAGUUCCCCCAGGGCAGAAAAAUGGGCUUCCUCUAGUAAAUCAUAGUCUUAUCAAGGUUUUGAGUUAGAGGAUGGCGCACGAGUAGCACCUGUAUUGGGUCGAGCGUUUACAACUAUCCACUCCUGGUGCCCCCAAGCAACCAUCAACGAUCGGUGGUCCACACGGCCAUCGACCGGGGGUCGUUACUUCCUCGUGAGAGCGCCUAGUUCAUUCAGGUUGAACAUGAUGCAUGUCUACCGCGCCCGACGAAAGUCCGACGCACCCCUAACCGAACAACUGUUAACAAUGGAUAUCUUGGUUCUC